GACGAACGCUGGCGGCGUGCCUAACACAUGCAAGUCGAGCGGAGAUUUCUUUGGCACUGAGUACUCUAGUGGUGACGCAAAGGAAGCGUCAUGAAGAAACAACAUAGAUGUUAAAAAUAAAAAUACUGAUAGAAGUUUCUUCAUCACGCGUUUAUAAAGUGCCAACACAUAACAACAGGAAGAAUUAGAGUAUUGAGUGCCAAAGAAAUCUUAGCGGCGGACGGGUGAGUAACACGUGGGCAACCUGCCUUAGAGUGGGGGGAUAACACCGGGAAAUCGGUGCUAAUACCGCAUAACAUACACAAACUGCAUGGUAAGUGUAUCAAAGGAGCAAUCCGCUUUAAGAUGGGCCCGCGGCUGAUUAGCUAGUUGGUAAGGUAACGGCUUACCAAGGCGACGAUCAGUAGCCGACCUGAGAGGGUGACCGGCCACACUGGAACUGAGACACGGUCCACGACUCCUACGGGAGGACGAGCAGUGGGGAAGUAUUGUCGCAAGUGGGGGAACCGGUCGAC
rnacentral:rRNA from 1 species